rnacentral:rRNA from 1 species
CCUACGGGAGGCUGCAGUGGGGAAUAUUGCACAAUGGGGGCAACCCUGAUGCAGCGACGCCGCGUGAAGGAAGAAGUAUUUCGGUAUGUAAACUUCUAUCAUCAGGGAAGAAAAUGACGGUACCUGACUACGAAGACCCGGCUAAAUACGUGCCACCAGCCGCGGCACUACGGAGGGGGCAAGCGUUAUCCGGCUUUACUGGGUGUAAAGGGAGCGGAGGCGGUUUAGCAAGUCAGAAGUGAAAACCCGGGGCUCAACUACUGGACUGCUUUUGAAACUGUUGAACUAGAGUGCAGGAGAGGUAAGUGGAAUUCCUGGUGUAGCGGUGAAAUGCGUAGAUAUUAGGAGGAACACCAGUGGCGAAGGCGGCUUACUGGACUGUAAAUGACGCUGAGGCUCGAAAGCGUGGGGAGCAAACAGGAUUAGAUACCCGGGUAGUC